ACUUUCAACAACGGAUCUCUUGGCUCUCGCAUCGAUGAAGAACGCAGCGAAAUGCGAUAACUAAUGUGAAUUGCAGAAUUCAGUGAAUCAUCGAGUCUUUGAACGCACCUUGCGCCCUUUGGUAUUCCAAAGGGCAUGCCUGUUUGAGUGUCAUU
rnacentral:rRNA from 1 species